rnacentral:rRNA from 1 species
UAAAGGAAUUGGCGGGGGAGCACCACAAGGGGUGAAGCCUGCGGUUCAAUUGGAGUCAACGCCAGAAAUCUUACCCGGAGAGACAGCAGAAUGAAGGUCAAGCUGAAGACUUUACCAGACAAGCUGAGAGGUGGUGCAUGGCCGUCGCCAGCUCGUGCCGUGAGAUGUCCUGUUAAGUCAGGUAACGAGCGAGAUCCCUGCCACUAGUUGCUAUCAUUAUUCUCAGGAAUAAUGGGGCGAAUUAGUGGGACUGCCGUUGUUAAAACGGAGGAAGGAAGGGGCUACGGCAGGUCAGUAUGCCCCGAAACUCUGGGGCCACACGCGGGCUGCAAUGGUAGUGACAAUGAGUUCCAAACUCGAAAGAGAGUGGCAAUCUCUAAACGCUACCACAGUUAUGACUGAGGGCUGUAACUCGCCCUCACGAAUAUGGAAUCCCUAGUAACCGCGUGUCAUUACCGCGCGGUGAAUACGUCCCUGCUCCUUGCCCACACCGCCA